GUUCCCUUGAGGAGUGGCUUCCGGAGCUAACGCGUUAAGUCGACCGCCUGGGGAGUACGGCCGCAAGGUUAAAACUCAAAUGAAUUGACGGGGGCCCGCACAAGCGGUGGAGCAUGUGGUUUAAUUCGAUGCAACGCGAAGAACCUUACCUACUCUUGACAUCCAGCGAACUUAGCAGAGAUGCUUUGGUGCCUUCGGGAACGCUGAGACAGGUGCUGCAUGGCUGUCGUCAGCUCGUGUUGUGAAAUGUUGGGUUAAGUCCCGCAACGAGCGCAACCCUUAUCCUUUGUUGCCAGCGAUUCGGUCGGGAACUCAAAGGAGACUGCCGGUGAUAAACCGGAGGAAGGUGGGGAUGACGUCAAGUCAUCAUGGCCCUUACGAGUAGGGCUACACACGUGCUACAAUGGCGCAUACAAAGAGAAGCGACCUCGCGAGAGCAAGCGGACCUCACAAAGUGCGUCGUAGUCCGGAUCGGAGUCUGCAACUCGACUCCGUGAAGUCGGAAUCGCUAGUAAUCGUGGAUCAGAAUGCCACGGUGAAUACGUUCCCGGGCCUUGUACAC
rnacentral:rRNA from 1 species